rfam:Schistosoma rodhaini strain Burundi genome assembly, scaffold: SROB_scaffold0000727
ACGAGUCCCAAAUAGGACGAAACGCGCGUC